GAUUCUACCUUACGGGGAAGGAUGAGAAGCUUCGACCAAGGUUCGACUCGAGCGCCAGCGAGAGAACGUUGCCGCAGGCAACGGCCCGAAGGGCGAGGAGCGAUAGCGACGAGUUAUCCUUCCCCCUCUAUUC
rnacentral:sRNA from 1 species